ensembl:lncRNA
CGACUUCAGUGACCUCCCAGUGAUGAUUACAAGAAACCUUUUCUGAGUACUCAGCCUGUUCCACAUUCAAUGUCAUGAUCACUGGUGAAAAUGUUGGAUGAAACCAGUCUGACAUCCAGACAUUACUGUUUACUUCACCACCUUGAAAAGUGACAGUUACACCUUUACUUUUGCUCCUUAUUCUACCAUGAGGCCAUAAAAUGACCUAUCCUCCAAUCCCAUGGGAAUUUAACUUCUUUAAUAGUUUUUGGUGAAGAGUAUUUUUGAAGAAUUUUUGAAAAGCCAACUGUAUGAUGUCUGCCAGCAAUCUUUCUGUAAUUCAUGAAGUCCUCCUUGUCCUUCUAAAUCAUCAGCGUAUCAACUUACCAUAUGAAAACUUGGAAGCAUCUCUAAGUCGUAUGCUUUUCCUCAGCAGCUUUGUGCAAGAGGUAGUCCAGGUUCCCAUUCCAUGUAACGUAUCUGCCAACAGAAGGAAAAAUUGCUCCUGUUACCUCAGCAGCCAUUGUUUUACUCCUGCCUGGAAACCCAACGGGAAAGGCUGGCAGCUGUGCCGGCUGCUCCUUCUCCGGACGCAUCUCCACAUGCUC